rnacentral:tRNA from 5 species
GCGGUCGUGGCGAAGGGGUUAACGCACUGGUUUGUGGAUCCAGCAUUCGCGGGUUCAAGUCCCGUCGUCCGCCCA